UACGUAGGGUGCGAGCGUUAAUCGGAAUUACUGGGCGUAAAGCGCGCGUAGGCGGACCUGCAAGUCGGGGGUGAAAGCCCGAGGCUCAACCUCGGAACUGCCUUCGAUACUGCGGGUCUCGAGUCCGGGAGAGGUGAGUGGAAUUCCUGGUGUAGCGGUGGAAUGCGCAGAUAUCAGGAGGAACACCAAUAGCGAAGGCAGCUCGCUGGGACGUGACUGACACUAAGGCGCGAAAGCGUGGGGAGCGAACAGG
rnacentral:rRNA from 1 species